AUUGAACGCUGGCGGCAGGCCUAACACAUGCAAGUCGAGCGGAUGAAGGGAGCUUGCUCCUGGAUUCAGCGGCGGACGGGUGAGUAAUGCCUAGGAAUCUGCCUGGUAGUGGGGGAUAACGUCCGGAAACGGGCGCUAAUACCGCCUACGUCCUGAGGGAGAAAGUGGGGGAUCUUCGGACCUCACGCUAUCAGGUGAGCCUAGGUCGGAUUAGCUAGUUGGUGGGGUGAAGGCCUACCAAGGCGACGAUCCGUAACUGGUCUGAGAGGAUGAGCAGUCACACUGGAACGGAGACACGGUCCAGACUCCUACGGGAGGCAGCAGUGGGGAAUAUUGGACAAUGGGCGAAAGCCUGAUCCAGCCAUGCCGCGUGUGUGAAGAAGGUCUUCGGAUUGUAAAGCACUUUAAGUUGGGAGGAAGGGCAGUAAGUUAAUACCUUGCUGUUUUGACGUUACCAACAGAAUAAGCACCGGCUAACUUCGUG
rnacentral:rRNA from 1 species